rnacentral:rRNA from 1 species
UGCAAGUCGAGGGGUAGAGUUCUUCGGAGCUUGAGACCGGCGCACGGGUGCGUAACGCGUAUGCAAUCUACCUUUUACAGAGGGAUAGCCCAGAGAAAUUUGGAUUAAUACCUCAUAGUAUAUCACAAUCGCAUGAUUGAGUUAUUAAAGUCACAACGGUAAAAGAUGAGCAUGCGUCCCAUUAGCUAGUUGGUAAGGUAACGGCUUACCAAGGCUACGAUGGGUAGGGGUCCUGAGAGGGAGAUCCCCCACACUGGUACUGAGACACGGACCAGACUCCUACGGGAGGCAGCAGUGAGGAAUAUUGGACAAUGGGCGCAAGCCUGAUCCAGCCAUGCCGCGUGCAGGAUGACGGUCCUAUGGAUUGUAAACUGCUUUUAUACGAGAAGAAACACUCCGACGUGUCGGAGCUUGACGGUAUCGUAAGAAUAAGGAUCGGCUAACUCCGUGCCAGCAGCCGCGGUAAUACGGAGGAUCCAAGCGUUAUCCGGAAUCAUUGGGUUUAAAGGGUCCGUAGGCGGUUUGGUAAGUCAGUGGUGAAAGCCCAUCGCUCAACGGUGGAACGGCCAUUGAUACUGCCAGACUUGAAUUAUUAGGAAGUAACUAGAAUAUGUAGUGUAGCGGUGAAAUGCUUAGAGAUUACAUGGAAUACCAAUUGCGAAGGCAGGUUACUACUAAUUGAUUGACGCUGAUGGACGAAAGCGUGGGUAGCGAACAGGAUUAGAUACCCUGGUAGUCCACGCCGUAAACGAUGGAUACUAGCUGUUGGGAGCAAUCUCAGUGGCUAAGCGAAAGUGAUAAGUAUCCCACCUGGGGAGUACGUUCGCAAGAAUGAAACUCAAAGGAAUUGACGGGGGCCCGCACAAGCGGUGGAGCAUGUGGUUUAAUUCGAUGAUACGCGAGGAACCUUACCAAGGCUUAAAUGUAGAUUGACCGGUUUGGAAACAGAUCUUUCGCAAGACAAUUUACAAGGUGCUGCAUGGUUGUC